rnacentral:rRNA from 1 species
UACAGAGAGUGCAAACGUUGUUCGGAAUUACUGGGCUUAAAGCGCACGUAGGCGGUGUCGUAAGUGUCUGGUGAAAUCCCACGGCUCACCCGUGGAACUGCCAGGCAUACUGCGAUGCUCGAGUGUGGUAGGGGAGAGCGGAACUCCUGGUGGAGCGGUGAAAUGCGUAGAUAUCAGGAGGAACGCCGGUGGCGAAGGCGGCUCUCUGGUCCACAACUGACGCUGAGGUGCGAAAGCUAGGGGAGCAAACGGG